UCUGCUUACACAUGAGUCCCUCAUACACAU
rnacentral:piRNA from 1 species